UUUAUAUAAAUUGUGUCUCUAAAUAAUUUGUCAUUAUUUGUUUGUGUUGAUGUGUGACGCAUUUUGAAAUUAUAUGAUCUAAAUGAAUUUAUCUUGUUUACUUAUAGAUGAUAUAUUCUUAUAGUGUCUGCGCACAUAAGGAGAACUAAGGUUCAACGCAUAGCAACCCAGUGAUAGAAGCCGUUGCUAUUCACCCCGUGAACGCGAGAGAUAGAACGAACAAGUCUGGAGGCAACAUACAUUAUACACUUUAUUAUUAAUUUUUCCAAUAAAUCACUAAAUGAUGAA